CAGCCGCCGCGGGAAUACGUAGGGUGCAAGCGUUAAUCGGAAUUACUGGGCGUAAAGCGUGCGCAGGCGGUUUUGUAAGACAGAGGUGAAAUCCCCGGGCUCAACCUGGGAACUGCCUUUGUGACUGCAAGGCUAGAGUACGGCAGAGGGGGAUGGAAUUCCGCGUGUAGCAGUGAAAUGCGUAGAUAUGCGGAGGAACACCGAUGGCGAAGGCAAUCCCCUGGGCCUGUACUGACGCUCAUGCACGAAAGCGUGGGGAGCAAACAGGAUUAGAUACCCCCGUAGUCCCUGUCUCUUAUAA
rnacentral:rRNA from 1 species